UGUAGCAAUGGGUUGUCAGGCGCCGAAAGAGGCGAGUUUCAAAACAAAACAAGACCAAAAAUAUGUAGACGCAUCGAAUUUAGAUUCCUCAGCUCUUGUGCUUUUCUGAGUUCAGCAUUGCUUCUCAGUGGACUUCACUGUGUCUUUGAACGCGUUUUGUGACAGAAGAUGGUUUAUUCCAGAAAAAAAAGCAGAAAAGUGCCGAUGACAGCACAAACUGGUAUGGCUUUAUCCUUGAAGUAGGAAGUAUAGACCUGUUGUUUAGCUGUGACUGGGUUUGGACAUUAAGGAAACCGGAAGUUGAAGAAAUGUGAAAGACGCACAGAGAAAAGAUAUCUAAAGGAAAAUGGCAGACAAUGAUUUGGAAUCUUCAAGCAGAGAAUGAUUGAUAAAUGAUGCAAUGUAAAGGAGAACACAUAGCAGGAAAGAAGAAACAGCAGAUCUUACUUAGAUUGCCACAGACUACAAGCCAAGCAUGGGAACUUCAUACUGGCAGUGAUAAUGCACAUAUUGUGUACAGAUGGUAAUAUUGGACAGAGCUGAGGCCCCAGCACACGUACAGGCAAGUCCACUUGUCAUCACAUUAACACAGGGUGAGUAAUGUAUUUUAUCUUCAGUUCUACUGUAACUGGGACUGUGCAUUACUCUGAUAACUGCUCCAUUAUCCUCAAUUAUGGUCUUUAAUCAAAAUCGGUCCUCAACAACA